UCCUCUCCCCUCUCGCGCGCCUCCUCUCCCUAUCUCUCUCUCGUUCCCCUCCCCUCCCGCGCGCCUCCUCUCCCGCUCGCCCUCGCGCCGCCGCCUCCGCUCGCGCUCGCGCCGCCGCCUCUGCUGAGAGGACCUGGCGGUCGCCUCUCCCACUCGCUCCUCUCCCUCUCCUCUUUCUCCUGCUCGCCUCUCACCUGAUCCCUAGCCCGCCGCCCGCCUCCCUGCCGCGCCGCCGCCCGCUGCUGCCGCCGCCCGCCGCCGUCUCGUCUGAACCGGCAAGACGCCAAACCCAGUGCCCCCUCUCGUCCUCGGCCAUCCAGCCCCCAACCCCACCCCACCCACCUGUCCCCUCCCUCCCAAAUGCCAGAAUCCCCUGCCCGCGCCGACCCAACCAAUCCCGCACCCACGCACCCGCACAUGCGCAGCAGCAGGGCGUCGACGACGAGGACGACGACGACGCGGCGCAACGGAGGGGUGUAGGUCAGCAAAGGGCACAGGCCACUGCUCACGCCGCUGCUGCGCUUGGUGCUCAACAGGAGUAGCUCGUGCUACGUCCGCACCGCCGGAGAGGACGCCAAGAUGAGCAUGGAGGUGCAUGGGUUGCGCAUUCGGAUGAAGACUCAAUAGGUGGAGCAGCAAGAGGUGCCCCUCCGUAGGGCAGAUUUGUGGCCACACAUCUAUCACCAGCUGGUCCAUAUAGAGGAGGAGAUAAGGUACAUAUCAAGACACCUUUCUCCGUGACUUCCAUUGUUGAUGGUCAUGAUUCUGUUUAGUUACAGGGCGUGGGGUGCUCUUCUUGGAAGACAGUUAGCGGAGCGUGGAAUUAUAGUCGCUUGCAUUGAUUAUAGAAAUUUGCCCCAAGGAACAAUAAGUGACAUGGUCAGUGAUGCUUUUGAGGCAUUUUCAUUUAUUUGUGAUACUAUUGCUAGCUAUGGAGGAGAUCCUAAUCAGAACUAUGCGCCGCACUUGAAUAUUUGAUCCUUUUGGGUGGUGAUUCUAUCCAAAGUCGUUGUUGUGACGUCGGUGAGUAACCUCGGGCACCACACUGGGUGCUACCGCCUCCCCACCACUCAUGACGCCAGGCUGUUCUACUUCUUCGAAUUCAGGCGGCACAAGGAGGACCCAGUGGUGAUCUGGCUGACGGGAAGACCCGGCUACUGCAGCGAGCUAGCCCUCUUCUACGAGAAUGGCCCCUUCCACAUAGCAGACAACAUGUCGCUACUCUGGAAUGAGUUUGGUUGGGAUCAUGUAUAUUAUAUAUACCGACAGUUUGCGUACUAAUCAAUCAAUCUGUAUAAUAUUUUCUUAGAGAUUGUUUAGACCCUGUAUAAUCUUCUCUCUGUUUGGAAUUGGAUAUUGGCUACUGCAGGAGUCGAAUCUUAUCUAUGUUGAUCAGCAAACUGGGACUGGGUUCAGCUACAUGUCUGAUUCUGAUUAUUCACUAUAUGUAGUUUUGCAAUUGAUGCGAUUAGGAUAUUACUGAGGGAUUUUAUCUAGGUUCCAGGGUGUUGAAAAUUAAAAAGAAUGUAACUAAAAUUUUACUAAAUUUAAAGCUGCACGUAAGAUUUUAUGGUUUAAAAAGAACAUACUUCCAAAUUCCAGAUUAGUUUGCGGUGUGUGUGUGCGCGCACGCUCAAAAGGUAUAAUUUAGUUUAAUGGAUGCUAUGCAUCAUGAGAGUACUUGAUCUUUGUAUAUGUAUUACAGUUUGCCAUCUGGUGUCAAUCUAAUUUGUUAAUAUGAAAAUGAGCAAUUGUGAUGCACCUCUUCUUUCCUAAUAAUAGUUUGCUUCUGACUAGCGACUGGUGGCGCUGGGUGCGCUUGCUUACUUUGUCGCGCAACUUCUUUGAUCACCGCGUACAACCUGACCUGAGUGUUGCAGCUCUGCCCGUGGUGGUCUCAUGGAUGUAGCGGUGACACCUCUCCAAGUAUACAUGUCCAAAAUCAUUAUUUUGUGGAAAAUUCUCGCAGACUUUUGCCUUUGUUCCAGUAAUUCUUUAACAAGUAUUCUUCUUCUUUUCUCAACCUCUUGCAUGCAAUUUCAGGCCACUCCAUCUAUCCGUGAAAUAUACAUGUUUGUAGCAUAUUUUGUGAUAUCUUAUACUACCAUCUUAUCUUAUAUUCACAUUACCACUGUAAAAAAUAUAUACAAUAGACUGCCUGCUACUUGAUGCAAUUUUAAUAUCUUCCUAAGAAUACAUACACAACUCAUGUUUUGUAUGAGUUAUGAGACAAUACACAACUCUCAGGUUUAU